AGAAUGAACGCUAGCGAUAUGCUUAACACAUGCAAGUUGAACGUUGUUUUCGAAUCAGAAUGAGAACAAAGUAGCGAACGGGUGCGUAACACGUGGGAAUCUGCCAAACAGUUUGGGCCAAAUCCCGAAUGAAUAAAAGCUAAAAAGCGCUGUUUGAUGAGCCCACGUAGUAUUAGGUAGUUGGUUAGGUAAAAGCUGACCAAGCCUACGAUGCUUAGCUGGUCUUUUCGGAUGAUCAGCCACACUGGGACUGAGACACGGCCCAGACUCCUACGGGAGGCAGCAGUGGGGAAUCUUGGACAAUGGGCGAAAGCCUGAUCCGGCAAUAUGGCGUGAGUGAAGAAGGGCAACGCAGCUUGUAAAGCUCUUUCAUCGAGUGUGCGAUUGUGACAAGACUCGAAUAAGAAGCCCCGGCUAACUCCGCGCCAGCAGCCGC
rnacentral:rRNA from 1 species